CCCUUAGAUGUUCUGGGCUGCACGCGUGCUACAAUGAAGCGUCCAACAAGAUGCGAAGCCGAAAGGCUCAGCGGAUCUUUGAAGUCGUUUCGUGACCGGGACAGUUGAUUGCAAUUAUUCGACUCGAACGAGGAAUUCCUUGUAAUCGCGAUUCAUCAUAUCGCGCUGAAUACGUCCCUGCCCUUUGUACACACCGCCCGUCGCUCCUACCGAUUGAGCGAUCCGGUGAAUUAUUUGGAGUGUCCACGCAAGCCAAUCCGUUUACGUGGGUGCGAAAUUUUGUAAACCUUAUCGCUUAGAGGAAGGAAAANUCGUAGCA
rnacentral:rRNA from 1 species